rnacentral:lncRNA from 1 species
UCCUCUUAUUAGUAUUGUUCAUCUAUUCAUUCUUCAUUGUAAUCUAUAAAUAUAAAAUUUUCUCAUUAUUACACAUUAACUUGUAGUCGAAUAUUUUUGUGAACAACCUCCAUAUCUUAUAUCUGUUCUAUAACCAUCCUUAAUGAAUAGAAAUAAAAUUAGAUAAUGCAUAUACAAGAUGCGAGGAUGCAAAUCACUAAUAUAUUUUUAUCCUUCUAUUUGGUGCUUAACAACAAUAUCACAUUGUCGAUCAAACUUGUCAAAGAUCACUAAUUAUUAAACCUACUAUUUUAGAACAUGAAGGCAC